GAUGAACGCUGGCGGCGUGCCUAAUACAUGCAAGUCGAGCGAACAGACGAGGAGCUUGCUCCUCUGACGUUAGCGGCGGACGGGUGAGUAACACGUGGAUAACCUACCUAUAAGACUGGGAUAACUUCGGGAAACCGGAGCUAAUACCGGAUAAUAUAUUGAACCGCAUGGUUCAAUAGUGAAAGACGGUUUUGCUGUCACGUAUAGAUGGAUCCGCGCCGCAUUAGCUAGUUGGUAAGGUAACGGCCUACCAAGGCAACGAUGCGUAGCCGACCUGAGAGGGUGAUCGGCCACACUGGAACUGAGACACGGUCCAGACUCCUACGGGAGGCAGCAGUAGGGAAUCUUCCGCAAUGGGCGCAAGCCUGACGGAGCACCGCCGCGUGAGUGAUGAAGGUCUUCGGAUCGUAAAACUCUGUUAUUAGGGAAGAACAAAUGUGUAAGUAACUAUGCACGUCUUGACGGUACCUAAUCAGAAAGCCACGGCUAACUACGUG
rnacentral:rRNA from 1 species